rnacentral:lncRNA from 1 species
CAACGCUAAAGAGGGUAGUUGACUUUGAUGAGUUGAAAGACAAGUGCUCAAUAUAUUUUCAGUCAUCAUCCUACGGAUAAAAUAAAAUCCACAAGUAAAAGGUAUGUUUAAUUUUCAAAUUCCCACUUGAUUAUUUUUUAAUCUUCGAUUAUUCCCCCCCCCCCUCAAGGAUUGUAGGUUCGAAAUCGUCAUCGGUCUGCCACUUUUAUACAUUUUUUAUAUUAUUUAAUUUUAUAUUUUAGAUAUACAUGUAUAUACUUUUAACAAAAUUUCAUACAUAUUUACCCUUUUUUUCAUUUUUCCUCGCAUUCCAUUCAAAAAAGAUAUAAAGACUUUCCCGCCAUUUCCAUUCGGAUCACUCUAGUGAGCAUUUUCCAUUGUAUAAGUAGAAAAACCAUUCUUGUACUUUAUCUUGUUGAAUACAAUAUUUGAACACAAAAUUAAAUGAACAUUGAUUUACUAUCUUACGGUUCAAGACACAACAUUUCAAAAGUAAUUCAAAUUUCCAGACAAUGCCAACUCUUCCAAAGGACCUGAGUUCAUCGUUGUAUACUCUCUAAUCUUUGGUUUUCUGUGUAAUGUUGUGUAGACUUUUGUUUUUAUUCUGAAUUUUGGCAUUUAAACCACGUGAGUAACUUUUCUAUUUAUUUUUUUUUUAUGUUCUUCUUCUGGACCCGUAAUAUUCAGAGAAAAAUAUAUAAUUUUUUUUUUUUUUUCUAAAUAAUACACAAUUGUAAUACCACCAGGCAAAAGCAAUUACAAA